UAAAUGUAAAAUGCGGAUGAUCAUUUAAGCACUCUGUUCUCAUA
rnacentral:sRNA from 1 species